CGAGCCACGCCCCUUUUGGGGCGCUCCUCCCGACCAAUCAGAUCGCUCCGGUCACGCCUCCUCUCUAUGACCUCACAAUGGGCGCCAGCUUGAUUCUCGACUCCUAUUGGCUGUGGCCAAGAGGGCGGGGCUCAGCCGGGGUAUAUAAAGAGGCCGGUGGGCUGCUGUGCCCCAGUUCGGGAUCCGGAGCAGCGGCGGCGGCGGCGGCAGAGGGGAAACCCCCCCCCCAGUGCAGGGGGAGAGAGGCACCCUUGCGUCAGAUCCACUCUGAGCCGUGCACCCCACAACGAAGGGCGCGGAGACCCCACCAGAGACUCCUCCGCUCCAUGGAGACCACCCCCACCCACAACAAGGAUGACGUCGGAGAUGGCCCAGCCCCACCCCCCCACCCCCAUAUCGGAGGAGCGGCAGCGAAGGGCGCGGAGACCCCACCAGUGACUCCGCUCCAUGGAGACCAACCCAACCCACAACAAGGAUGACAUCAGAGCUGGCCCGGCCCCCCCAUAGCAGAGGAGCGACAACGAAGGGCUCGGAGACCCCACCAGUGACUCCGCUCCAUGGAGACCAACACAACCCACACCAAGGUAAGCAAAGACACCACUCGGUCCUUCCCACUAAUGGGAGGAGCACGGACAUGACGUGACCCCUUAAUCCCCACAGUGGGUGAGAAUGGAGAUGAUCCCGACCGCUCCUCCCGAGUAGGGGCGAAGUGACAACGAAGGGCGCGGAGACCCCACCGAUGACUCCGCUCCACAGAGGUGACCUCAACUCACACCAAGGAUGAUGUCAGAGAUGGCCUGGCCCCCCCACAUAGCAGAGGAGCGACAGCAAAGGGCUCGGAGACCCCACCUGUGACUCCGCUCCACAGGCACGACCUCAACUCACACCAAGGAUGACGUCGGAGAUGGCCCGGCCCCCCCAUAGCAGAGGAGCGACAGCAAAGGGCUCGGAGACCCCACCUGUGACUCCGCUCCACAGAGCCCACCCCAGCCCACACCAAGGUAAGCACAAACAGAGACCACCCAUGACCUUACCACCCUUUAUCUCAACACAGGAUGAGGAUGGACACGACGGAGACACCCACGUGGGGCACCGAGGGACAUGGACAGAACAGCCCCGUGGGGAGGGUGGAUACGGGGCGAGCAUCUCACCGAAGGUGACAACGACGAUCAAGACACCAUGGACAAAAAAAUAAAGCUGGCAAAAAUCACAUCAAGUGCUGUGCCUGAUCUUUGCUUUCCCACCGAGUCACUCACCACCCAAACCAACCACACCACCAGGACACAGCCCCCAGCUGCAGGGAAUCUGCCUGCCCCAUCCAGAGGUGUCCCAGUGACAAGGACCACGGCACACACAGCCCUCAGCGUUUAUUC